rnacentral:rRNA from 14 species
GCUUACGGCCACACUGCCUGGUUCACGCCCGAUCUCGUUUGAUCUCGGAAGCUAAGAUAGGUUGAGCCUGGUUAGUACUUGGAUGGGAGACUGCUUGGGAAUACCAGGUGCUGUAAGCU